CUUGACCAAGAUACAUGCCCAAGUGUUUUCUUCUAUUCCAGAUCCUAAGUCGAAUACAGGUACACACAAGCUGCUUCCUGGUGAUUGGGUUAUGGUCAAGAAGUUUCUCAGGAAACACACCCUAGAACCGAGAUUUGAUGGUCCUUAUCAAGUGCUCCUGAUUACAGCAACGUCAGUUAAACUAGCCGGGAAGAGUUCUUGGAUACACGCUUCACAUUGCAAGAAAGUGCCUGCUCCAGAAGAGGCUAAUUCUGCUGAAAUAUGAAUUUAUUAUGUGUCUUGUGUUUUCUUAUGCUGCUACACUUUGCCUGGGCCCAACAAGUGGCCAUAACCAAAGAUAAUCAUGUUUAC